rnacentral:tRNA from 1 species
AAGAUCUGUAAUACUUUAAACUACAUCGCCUGAUUGCAACCCAGACACUUUAAUUAAGCUAAGACCUCC